ACUUUCAUUUUUCGGUUAAGACGUUGAAAAAUCUAGUUUAUUCGCUUACUAACCAUGUACUCUUUUCACAAAUCGGCUUUAAAAUAAGACAGAUAGAACGAUGAAUUGCUUUCCAGUGGAACUUGCGAUACUUUAUUUGGUUUCUUUGGCAGCAUCCCUGGAGGUGGUGGUCAUCCCGGCUGUCAAUGCCACAAUUGGUGAAGAUGUCCUGCUUGGCUGCUCAUUUUUGCACACAGAUGAGCUUGAUUUGAGAUACGUUGUGAUUGAAUGGAACCACAGGGUGGGGAAUGAUGAAAAAGCAGUUUGCUUGUUCGACUUUGGAGAAUUUGAAAGCUAUAGACCAGAAUCAAGUCUCUCUAUAAAUGAAAUAAGCAAAGCAAAUGCUUCUUUGCUUUUAAAGAAUGUUACAAUUCAUGACAUUGGAUCAUACUCCUGCAUAGUUACAAUAUUUUCCGAUAAAGCAAUGGGGAGAGUUACUCUGGCAGUAACAGCACCUCCUACAGUUUCAGUAAACACUGCAAACAUUGACAUUGAACUCGGGGAAGAUAAAGCAAUCAUAUGUGAGAUGAAAAAUUUUUAUCCAGAAGACCAUUCUGUCUCUUGGUUCAAAUGUGGUUCAAAAGACACUGAAAGCCAAGUUGACGUCACAUCAAGAGCAGUUGCAGGAUCACCGCAACAAAAUCAAGAUGGAACAUUUAAUCUGCUUUCAUUCCUAAUCAUCAAAGGCAUCCAAACAGAUGAUGGUGCUUGUUAUGUCUGCUUAGUUAGUCAUGAAGCUUUAAAAGCACCUUUACAAAAUGUUGUCAGCUUGACCAUCAAGGGAUCCAAGCCAAGAACAAGAUCAGGAACAUUGCUCACUUUUCUUAUGACUUCUGUGAUCACAGCAACUGUUUGCUUUGCAACAUUUAUUUUUUACAGCAGUAAAAGAAAAGUUGCUCCCAAAGUGACGGACAUCAUUAAACCAAACCAUCUCCAUUUGGCUGAUCCCCUCUCUCUGGCUUGUGCAGUUCUCUGGUUCAAACCAAAAGCUAUCAACGUUUCUUGGUAUAGAGAGGAGGAGGGCAAAUUCCAAAGAGUUCUCAUCAGUAAAUGGAACAGCACCUCAUCUUCUGUAAAACAACGUGGAUACAGUGGAGUUGAAGAUUAUCAGAGUGAGCAGGAACAAGACAAAACACUGUACUUCACGGAAGGAGAGCAUGACAUUGCCAUAACUUUGAAAAAUCACAAAGGAAGUGGAGCAUACAGUUUAAUGUCUCAGCUCACCUUCAGAAAUGCCAAAGCUACAAAAAGGAAGCUUGUGUAUUCUUUUGAAGUUCAGCAUGACUCUCUAAAGCACACUAUUUCAAAAGUAGUUGUUUUAGAAAUCAAAGGUGCUUGUGACAAUACUGGAUAUUUUCCAUCACAAAUGAAGCGCACAGACUGGGCAAUACAUGCAAUUGAAGAAGGUCGUCGGACUGUGGUUAAUUACAUCAGUCCUAACAUACUUCCACUCUUAAAUCUUUUAAUGAAUAAGAAAAUAAUCUCUGAAGAUGACCAUAAUGUAAUAAAAGAUAAACCAGACGUCGAUAAAGGGCGAACUCUUCUCGACAUAUUGAGCCACAGAGGUCAGCAGUCAUGUACUGAUUUUCUCACUGCACUGACAGACACUGAAGACCUUUAUCCUGGCUUAAAGAAGUUUGUAACAACACUGCUGGAAUCCUACAUUGAUAAAGAUGACAGGCCAAUUAUUGAUCUUCUCCAUGAAAACCUACCAACUGUUUUACUUGAGGGCAGCAAUGAAAAAAUCCAAAUAACCAAUUUCCCUGAAGAAAUCUCUGAAGCAGUGGCCACACAUAAAUACACAUUACUAGCACAGAUGGAGAGAAUAAAGCCAUACUUUGUAUUUGAUAACUCCAGACCAUUGCUGCAGGAACAUUUCACCAGUCUAGUCAUUCUCAAUGUCCGAGAAAGGAAUAAAACUGAACAUGAACUCCUGCAACACAGAGACUACACAGCGUGCGAGCGUAUAGAUUUAAAACAGCUUCUUUCACCAUCUGCACCUGGGGAAAAGCCACCUCGAGUCACUCUAGUGCAAGGAGUGGCAGGUAUAGGCAAAAGCGUUAUGAUGCAAAAGCUCACUCAUAGUUGGGCCUGUGGAAUGAUUUAUACUGGAUUUUAUAUACUGCUUUAUUUCAAUUUUCGGGAGUUAAACACAAUCAAGGAAAAAAUUAGCCUGACCGAGCUUAUUGUACAUAGCUACCCUCAUCUGAGAGCAUUGUGCAAUAAGAUACUGGAAUUUCCUAGCAGGAUCCUAUUUUUAUUUGAUGGAUUGGAUGAAUUCAAAUUGUCUCUUGAAUUUAACAACCAUUCAAUUGUUGACCCAUCCAUUGCUCAACAUAUUAAUCAUUUGAUUGUAAGUAUCAUAAAGGGAGACCUUGUUCAUGAGGCAACUGUCCUUAUUACAUCCCGCCCAACCACAAUCGAUUUAGAUAACAAAACAUAUUUUAAUCGAUGUGCUGAAAUUUUAGGAUUUUCUAAAAGUGAAAUUGCUGCAUACUUUUUGAAGUGCCUCAAGGAUAAAAAAGUUGCUGACCAUGUCUUUCGAACAGUGAAGAGCAUUGAUUCUUUGUUUGGACUUUGCUAUGUUCCUGCAUUUUGUGACAUCCUGUGUUUCUACCUCCAUAAAUCCUUUCACUGUAAAGGCAGGUGGUCUCAGAUCUCUUCCUUUCCCAGGACAAUCACCGAUUUGUUCCUCAGAUUCACCAAGUGUUUACUGAUCUGUAACAGUGAUAAGGAAGAUGACCCUGAGUCCUUCUGCAUAGAAGAUGAUGAAGACAAAAAUGAAAUAAUUAAAUUAGCAGAACUUGCAUGGGAUGGAAUCGUCAAUAAAACAAUAAUUUUCUCAGCAAAAGACAUUGAAAGGAACAUUGCCAAAAAUCCCCAGGACAAAAAAUCCUUCUGGAAAAAAAUUCUCACCAAAGAGAGCUUGAAAAUGAUGCAAUCCCACAUUUGGCAAUUUUUCCAUCUGACACACCAGGAGUUUUUUGCAGCGCUUUAUUGCAUUUCUGCAAAUGAAUCUGGUGUGGAUCAUGUGCAUAAAGCCUUCAGUUCAAAGAGUAAUGUAUUUGAGAUUGUACUGAGGUUCACUGCUGGCCUAGUCUCUCAUAGCAACAGAAAAUUUGUGAAGCAGUUGCUGCCUCAACACCAGGUUAAAGAAAGAGAAGUCUUUGAUGCUAUCAAAAAUAUUGCUGCAGUUGAAGUUCCAAAAGAAGACACGCUAACUCCAGAAAAUAUUACAAAAUAUACAGUGCACAAAAGACAAAAACUAACAGCCUCUCAUUGUCUCUAUGAAGCGGCAAAUGAAAAUUUAACACAACUAGUUGCCUCCCAAACCAGUGAUGUUGUAAAUUUUUCUUACAUUUCUUUGAAUGUGACUGACUGCACUGCAAUUGCAAACCUCCUUUCUUACCAUACCACGAUUGAAACAUUGGAAUUAGAUGGAUGUAAAGCUGGAGCUUCUGGUUUCCAAAGACUGGAGUCUGUUUUCUCAAAAGUCAAGACAUUGAGUUUAGAAGGAAACAUGCUGGAGGAUGAAGGAGCAGAGAUCAUUGCGAAUGCACUCAAAAGUGAAACAUGUAGAAUAGAAAUCUUAAGGUUGAAACACAAUUCCAUAGGAGAGAAAGGAGCAGCCCAAAUAGCUGAAGCAUUGAAAACAAACAGCAGUCUGAAAACAUUGGGAUUAAGAGCAAACACUGUCCGUGCCAAAGGUGCCCAUUCAAUAGCUAAAGCUCUGGAGAUCAACACAACAUUGCAAGUUUUCGGCUUACAACUAAACAAAAUCGGGGACGAAGGCGCAAAGUACAUGGCACAAGCAUUAAAAAAAAAUCGCAGUUUGAUUGAAUUAAGGCUUGGAGACAAUGAUAUCACUGAAAAAGGAAGUGGUUACUUUAGAAGUGCUUUAGAAGUGAAUGGCACACUGGAAGAGUUGUGGAUUCUGGUGAAUAAUAUAUCAAAUGAUGGAAAGGAAAGAUUGAAAAAUGCCAGUCACAAAAACCCAAAUCUUCGACUGAAUUAAUUUCAAAAGAUGAAGUGCCCAGUUUAAUAAAGCUUGUCACUGAGAACAUACUGAAGAAGCUGUCCUUAUACAUGAAACAUGGUGUCAGAAAGUGGAGAAAAAGUAGAUUUUUGAACCCUGGAAAUUCUGCAAAGAAUGCACUGAGAACCUAGGCAAAUAGAAAGGUUCAAAUCUGCAAACAAAAAAGUUGCUGAGAAAAGGACAAAAGAAAAGCAAACAAAGGCUGCAAGAAGAUACUGGGCUAAAAAUGAACACUACUGGAGUGGUCCAAGACCAGCAAGUUUGCAACCGUGGGAAAUGUGGCUGACUGUCUCUGCUGGAACCCAGAUGCACAUUCAGGAAGCAACAUUGACAAACAGAAUAAAUUUCCUGACACAGGAACAAGUUCCAUGAUGUGCUGCUUCUCUUAAGAAAAUGCAGCCACUUUAGAAAAUAUACAGACUAAAGCAGGGAUUUAUAAAGGUGAAACAAAAACAGAAAAGCUCAGCAGGUCUGACAGCAUCUGUGGAGAGAGAAAAACAAAGUUAACGUUUCAAUUCCGUAUGACCCUUCUUCAGAGCCAGAGUCUUCGGGGUCAUACGGACUCAAAACGUUAACUUUGUCUUCCUCUCUCACUUAGAUGCCGCCAGAUCUGCUGAGCUUUUCCAACAUUUUCUGUUUUUGUUUCAGAAUUCCAGCAUCUGCAGUAUUUAGCUUUUAUAUUUAUAAAGGUGACAUGUUUAUGCCAUUGAUGCAUUGCCUUGGUUUGUUGGUGCCACCUUAAAGUAUACCUGUGGAGAUAACACCCACCACAGGCAGUGUCCUUCAGUUGAAGCUUCAAGAGCUGAAAGUUUAUGUUUUAUUCAUUGCUGAUAUGCAUCAUUUUUUUAAAAUAAAGUUUAUUCUUGGGGUGUGACAAGGUCCAUCCUUGAGCCCACUUGAGAGGACAUUUAGGGUCAACUACAUAUUGUGGGACUGCAGUCACAUGUGUGCCAGACAGGUUUCCUUAGCUGAGGGACAUUAGUGAAUAUUAGUUUUAGAACAGUAAGGACAAAAUCUUCCAUCUGAUUCAUUUUUUCUGCUGAUAACAUCUCCUUAAUAAAAUAACAUGGAUAAAUAAUAAAUAUACGUUUUUUUUAGAUUUUGUACAGCUUAAUUUUGAUUUGAAGUGUAUGACACUAGUAUUUUGUGAAUCAUUGAUAUAAGUUUAGAAACCUCAAACACUGGUGUUCACCAACAAAAAUCCCAAUACAAUCAUAUUGAAUUCCUCUCUGCACUGUUUUAAUGCAGAUAUUAAACUGCCAGUGUGAAAACAGCACAGGAAAUAAUUUAAUGGAGUGCUUUAAAUGUUAUUAGAACAGCAGCAGCAAUAGAAUUUCUAUCAUUUAUGUUUCUAUUUAAUGAGUCCGGACAACGUAUCUGUGGCGUCCAUGCCAUUUUUCUGAAUGGAGGUAACAUUACAGGGAGUGAAUCACAGAAAUUGUUUAAACUGAGGUACAGCAUGUGUUCUGUAUCCCAGCAUCUUCACACCUAAUUCCUGCAGAGAUCACAAUAGUGAGCAAGAAGCAUGCUCAGUUCUUUUUCUUCUGCCUUGUCUUGUUACAGGGCAGCUCUUGUAGCCAGCUGCAAUCAACAGACUCCACACAAACCUAAAUCUAAGCUAGGGCCUUGCUGUUCUGUCUUGUCCAUCUUGUACUAAGUUUUUAAAAGCCACUCUCUGCGUAGGCAGUUCCGUAUUGAUGAUCUCAUAUUAUAAGGGCUGGAAGGAUGUUUCAGUUCUAUAGAUAUUAUGUUGUGUCACAGAGAAGUUGUAUCAAACUUGUGAUCUGUGGCCAAAAAUAAAAGCAAUUAUUUUGACAACUUA